UCAACUUGAGGGACCUAUUCCCCCGAGCCUUGGAAAAAUGAGCAACUUGCUGAGAUUACUUCUUUGUGCAAAUAAUUUCACAGGGAUAAUACCAGAAACAUAUGGAAAUCUAAAGAAUCUCACUCGGUUUAGGAUAGAUGGGAACA